rnacentral:rRNA from 1 species
AUAUCAGUCAUGCAUAGCAUAUCAAUAAGCGGAGGAAAAGAAACUAACAAGGAUUCCCUUAGUAACGGCGAGUGAAGCGGGAAGAGCUCAAAUUUGAAAUCUUCAAGGUUUUACCUUGACGAAUUGUAGUUUAAAGAAGUGUUUUCUGUUGAAGUUUUGGUAAAAGUUCUUUGGAAUAGGGACAUCAUAGAGGGUGAGAAUCCCGUAUUUGACCAUUACUUUCAGCUUUGUGAUACACUUUCAAAGAGUCGGAUUGUUUGGGAAUGCAGUCCAAAAUGGGUGGUAAAUUUCAUCUAAAGCUAAAUAUUGGCGAGAGACCGAUAGCGAACAAGUACCGUGAGGGAAAGAUGAAAAGAACUUUGAAAAGAGAGUUAAACAGUACGUGAAAUUGUCAAAAGGGAAGCGUUUGACACCAGUGUUGUUUUCUCGAAAAUCAAUUAAAAAGAGUUGGAUUUUGUGUUGUAUUGACUUUAUCAGCUUUCUUCACUCUUUUCCAGCUUUUUUUAAUGCACUUUUCGUUUAACAAGUCAACAUCAGUUUCUUUUGUUGUAAAAAGGUCAUUGGAAGGUGGCUUUCUCUUCGGAGAAAGUGUUUAUAGCCUUUGACUUAUGCAAUCGGAGAGACUGAGGUCUGCAGCGUAGAUCCUUCGGGGUUAGAUACAUUUGUGCUAAGUUAUAGCUUUUCAUAGGACAACUUGUUGACUAUGUUUAGUCUUGUAGCUUACUCGCUUAUGCUAUUUUACCUACGCUUAGGAUGUUGAACUCUAUCACACACA